rnacentral:rRNA from 1 species
AGACAGCAGCAGCCGCGGUAAUACAGAGGGUGCGAGCGUUAAUCGGAUUUACUGGGCGUAAAGCGUGCGUAGGCGGCUUUUUAAGUCGGAUGUGAAAUCCCUGAGCUUAACUUAGGAAUUGCAUUCGAUACUGGGAAGCUAGAGUAUGGGAGAGGAUGGUAGAAUUCCAGGUGUAGCGGUGAAAUGCGUAGAGAUCUGGAGGAAUACCGAUGGCGAAGGCAGCCAUCUGGCCUAACACUGACGCUGAGGUACUAAAGCAUGGGGAGCAAACAGGAUUAGAUACCCGAGUAGUCCCUGUCUCUUAUAC